UAUCCCUCCCCGCCUUGUUUUUCCGUCCGAGGGGAAAGGAAAUAUCCCUCUCGCGAGCUCCGUAGGCUCGCGCAGGCAGUCGCGCCGCCGUUGCUUCGUCUAGGAGGCGGCGCGCGAGCUCAGAUCCGUUAUAACCUUAUUUUAACGGCACCAAAACCACACAAAGCUCGACGACGCGACCUGAAACACGUAAACCAGAAGCUCCGACGUGGCUGAACGAGACAUAGAUCGGCAUUGAUGAACACAAGGCUGCAUUCAGUGCGCUCGCGCCCAGCAGGAGACGAGGGGAAAAAAAUCGACAUGUUUUAUUUUGUAAGAAUCUUUUUUUUUUUAAUGAAACACAAAAAGGCAAUAAAAUUAAGAUAAAUAAUUUUUCUUUUUGUACACGAAGAAAUACUUUAGUUGUAUUUCCAAAGAAUGACUGAAAUUACAUAAUAUAUUUUAGUAGGCUAUCUAAACCGUACAAAGCAGGUUCCAGUGGGUCUUAAAAAAAACACAAUGUCGCUUUUGGGAAAACGUGAUGGUUAAAACUGAAUCCAGUGUUUCUUAAAGAAAAUACAGCUUUGAGAAAUAAAUCAAUUAAAGACCCAUAAAACUAAUAUUUAAAAAUUGACUUUCACAUUAGAUUCCUUUUAAAGCUUUUGCUUUGCAGUGUAACAGCAACAUUGUUGUUAAAAGUCAGUCAUUGUCUUAAAAAAGAAAAAGG